rnacentral:rRNA from 1 species
UAGGGAAUUGUUCGCAAUGGGCGCAAGCCUGACGACGCAACGCCGCGUGGAGGAUGAAGGUCUUCGGAUUGUAAACUCCUGUCAGAUGGGAAGAACGACUGUCGGCAAAUAGUCGAUAGUCUUGACUGUACCAUCGGAGGAAGCCCCGGCUAACUCUGUGCCAGCAGCCGCGGUAAUACAGAGGGGGCAAGCGUUAUUCGGAAUUAUUGGGCGUAAAGGGCGCGUAGGUGGCCUGGUAAGUCAACGGUGAAAUCCCUCGGCUCAACCGAGGAACUGCCUUUGAUACUGCCAGGCUUGAGGCCGGGAGAGGGUAGCGGAAUUCCCAGUGUAGCGGUGAAAUGCGUAGAUAUUGGGAGGAACACCGGUGGCGAAGGCGGCUACCUGGACCGGUUCUGACACUGAGGCGCGAAAGCGUGGGGAUCAAACAGGAUUAGAUACCCCCGUAGUCCCUGAGCGGGCUGGCA